AUGAAGACGAAGCAGGCUUCCAAGGCCAAGGCGGCGCCGUCGCCGGGGAAGGAGGAGGAAGCAGUUGCAUCGGGUGGUUUCCGCAAGGGGCCAUGGACGGAGCAGGAGGACAUGAAGCUGGCGUGGUUCGUGCGGCUCUUCGGCGAGCGCCGCUGGGAUUUCUUAGCUAAGGUGUCAGGUCUUAACCGGACGGGGAAGAGCUGCCGGCUCCGGUGGGUCAACUACCUGCACCCGGACCUCAAGCGCGGCCGGAUGAGCCCCGAAGAGGAGCGCCUCGUCGUCGACCUCCACGCCCGCUGGGGCAACCGCUGGUCACGCAUCGCCAAGGCCAUGCCGGGGCGCACCGACAACGAGAUCAAGAACUACUGGCGCACCCACACCCGCAAGCUCCACAAGGACACGCGCGCCUCUGCUGCUUCGGCCUCUACGACCACGUCCACGUCCAUGUCGGCGGCGUCUCCGGCCACCACGUCCAGCUCCUCCUCUUCAACGAUCGACAACGACAACAACUCGCAUCACGGCCACCGCGACCAAGAGACGGCGGCCAGCCAGGAACAAGCGGAUAACCAGCUGCUCUACACCGCCGGCAUCGGCAUGGACAGCCACCUCCUUUGGAACGACGCCAUCAUGGACUCCUACGCAUGGGGAGCCGCCGUGCCGUCGAUGAUAGUGCCGCCGCCUUCAUCGCCGGUGUGGGACUACUGCUGCUCGGAUUCGCUCUGGGGGAUAGGCGACGACGAGGUCGAGUACAAGAAGAUGCUCGCCGUCGCCGGUGCCUCAUGA
rnacentral:rRNA from 1 species